rnacentral:rRNA from 1 species
GACGAACGCUGGCGGCGUGCUUAACACAUGCAAGUCGAACGGAAAGGCCCUGCUUUUGUGGGGUGCUCGAGUGGCGAACGGGUGAGUAACACGUGAGUAACCUGCCCUUGACUUUGGGAUAACUUCAGGAAACUGGGGCUAAUACCGGAUAGGAGCUCCCGCUGCAUGGUGGGGGUUGGAAAGUUUCGGCGGUUGGGGAUGGACUCGCGGCUUAUCAGCUUGUUGGUGGGGUAGUGGCUUACCCAGGCUUUGACGGGUAGCCGGCCUGGGAGGGUGACCGGCCACAUUGGGACUGAGAGACGGCCCAGACUCCUACGUGAGGCAGCAGUGGGGAAUAUUGCACAAUGGGCGGAAGCCUGAUGCAGCAACGCCGCGUGCGGGAUGACGGCCUUCGGGUUGAAAACCGCUUUCGCCUGUGACGAAGCGUGAGUGACGGUAAUGGGUAAAGAAGCACCGGCUAACUACGUG